UCCUGAUAAAGGCUCCUCCUGGUUACCAAUUACCGAACAUGGAAAACGACACGCAGUGAUAGCUCUCAAUAUUUUACAUGUCCUGUUUCAUACUUGGACAGAAUGAUGACAGAGGAUGGAGAACAGGGCUGCGACACUGACAGGCAAGAAGUAAAGAGAAGACAGAGAAGUGUUGGUGAAUGAGGCCUUCAGGUUCCACUAGAAGAACCCAUGGAGCCACACAUCGUGCCCCUGCACCCCUCUUCCCCUCCCCUACUGGAUGAUGAUGGUGAUGGCGAGAUAGGAUCGGAAGAUGACGAGUUUGGGGGAUUCUCUGUUGGGCCAUCCUUCUCCUCUCCUGGCUUUGUUGAUUCUAAUGAUCCACCAUCCAGCCUCAGAUAUUCUUCUUCCAGCAUGAAGCCAGCCAACCAUCCACCUAACAGCAGCUUUAACCAUCCAAUAGAACAAUCUCUAGUUCCCCAACCCCCUUCCACUGUGAACUCAGGGUCCAACAAGGGCCAGGUGAAGGUGGAAAGGCAGGAUUGUGAUUCUGAAUCACUUGUGCACCUCACUAAUGGGUAUUCUGAUGGAAACCACAGCCCUGCAGCCUCUGCAGGAGGUGCAUGCUCUCCCAGAGAAGAAACAGGUUUUGCUGAUUUCACCGUGUUUACAGAUCAGGCUGCACAUCCUUGGUGCUGUGGUUUCACUCCCUUGGUUGGCGUUAAAGAGAAAAACUCUUCCAGGAGCUUAGGUGGGCAAAUCUGUAAUCCAAAACAGGAGGUCAUUAUGGAGUCUGAGCCCAGGUCUCAUUCUGUGUCACAGGCUAAAGAAAAUAUUUGCACUGUCAAGCACUGUGAGAAAAGAGAUGCAGCACUCAUGCAGCCAUCUCAGGACCAGCAACAGCCUCAGGAAGCUGCUGCAACAGCUUUGGAUUUUCCAUCUGAACAGCCUCCUAGAGAGGAGGACUUAGGCGAUCCUGGAGACAGUAGACAUAGUUUUGAUUCUUUAUCCACCACAGGGAUGCACGGGGAUGGAGAUUCAGAUGAAGACAGUAAAUAUUGGGAAAAGAACAUUUCUACUGUUCCCCAAACAUUCAGUGUAUGUGAGUCAGCUUCAGAUAUAUCCUUCUGUGAUGAUUUGUCAUUUGAUGGCCCUUCUGCAGACUUUGAACCAAAUGUUUCAUCUCUUGGUUCACCAGAGGAUCAGACUGACUGGGACCCGACUGAUGAUGAGGAAGAACUUGAAAACUUUAGACUUGCAGACUCUUUUGCCAGUAACAACGGGGCAAAUCCCAGAGAGUCUGAAACAGGGACAGGUUUUCAUUACUUCUACCAAUCCGCAACUCAGGAUACUUCUGCUACCUCACAAUCUGGAACACAUACAGACAGCAGUUUUGCAGACUUUAGAGACUGUGGCGUCGAGCACCACAGGGACCAAGAGAGUGUCCAAACAGCUGAUGCAGGGGUGCAAAUUCUAGGCAACCUCCCACCCAGUGACAGCUUUGCAGAUUUUUGCUCAGCACCCACGCGGGAGGAUGGAGAGGAGUUGUGGGCGGAGUUUAAAGACCAGAGGGCUCAUGGGGAGAGAAAAAGUUGGACUCCGUCCCGAGAGCAAGUCAGCAGCCUGAAGAGUGAUGAGAGCACGGAGGAGGACAGGGUGGGGCAGCAUGGAGAAAGCAGGAGGAACAGCUGUCAGGCGUCACUCUCCGGCCGUGUCCAGCAGCUUCUUCUGUCCAGUUUUCCAGAGGUGGGGGUCCCAGCUGUGGAGGGUGUGGAGGAGGUGCUCAGCCUCAGCACUCUGCUUCCUGACCAACACCUUUCUGAGAGAGAUGAUAAGGAAGUACCAGAACUCUGUGAAAGAUCUCGGAGUGUUCAGAGGGCAAUGUGGUGGUUACACCAGGACCUCCACAAUGCAGCUGGCCUCCAGUUUCAGUGGGGAGGAUCCCACACAAACAGGACUCUGCUCAGGUGCCUUGGUGUGGACACAAGGAAUAUUGUGUUCAUGGGCAUGAAGAAGCAGCCAGUGGCUGUUCCUGCUUAUGCAUCCAGCCUGGGAAUGCUAGAGCCCACCAAAGACUCUGUGCCAGCUGUCUGUUCUCCAGGACACACAGCUGUCACAGCACAAGUUCCUCCAGAGUCUCAGGUCACACCUGACCCCUCCGGAGAUUCAGGGCCGGAGGUGCUUCCCUCCAGCCAGCUGGACUGGAGCAACCGUGGCCUUAGCAGCUCUCAGGACGGUACGUCUCCUCGCCGAGCCCCUCACUUCUGGGGUCGGAAAUAGACUUCAGUAUCCACCAUCCCCUUACCUGGCUUCUUCCUAUAAGCCAAAACUUUUUAGAGUUUACUCUGGGCUCCUCUGGACCACUCCUUACUUCCUUCAAGAUACUCUGGUGAAUAUAUCUUAUGGUCAAUCUGCUCCACUUGUCGUGGGGAAGCCUUGAGGUCACGAUAAGGUGAUAAAAACUGUGGUAAAGGCGACUUAAAAAAAGUGUACACAACAAUCACAGUGCUUCAUGAUGAGAUUAAAGUUCAAAAUCAUAAAGUCAGCACUUAAUGCCAAAUUCACAUCACAUCACACUGGCGAAGAACAAACGCUGAAUUGAACAUCUGUCAAAUGAGGAUGCAUUGACAUGGAACAUGGAACAUGGACAUCCUGUUUUAUUUUACUUAGUUUUAUUUAAUUUAUUAGUGGCCACUGAGGAAGAUGAAUGCAGAACACAUGCAGUGUUAAUACUGUGCUCUAACAUUUGCAAAGUGCAUGACUAUUGCACUAUAUGACUACUAGACUUAGCCUAUAGCUCUGUCAGGCAUCGUCAGAUCUUCUUGUGUGAUUCCACCCUGACAUCCUCACUUUUGAUACCAAAUCUUGUUCGUAUUUGCAUGUCAAGUAUUUCAUGGUCUCAUCAGUUAUCUAAGAAACCAUUAAGCAAAGAGAGAUCCUAAGAUUUUUAAGAUAAAACGACGCAGAAAUCAAUCAUUCUUUGCUCAGGAAAACAGAUAAUUUGGUUUGUUAAGGAUUGCGUUUGGUGUAGUAGUGUGAAGAUCAGGUUUUGUAGGGUAAUUAUUUUUUUUCAGUUUAGUGUAAAAUCUGACCCUAAAGUAUAAAGAAGAAAAAGCAUUGUUCACUAAGCAAACGUGGAAAUGUUUUAAACAAAGGCUGCAGGAACUGUUGGCCCAAUCGUCAGUUCCAUAUUAUUGAUUGAUUCAUUCAGCUCUAGUUUGUAGCAUGCAGGCUGACACACUGUCACUGGGUGGAGGCUUUACAUCUAGUUUCAUAAACAUUAAUGAGUUUAGUCUUCAAAUCAAGACAACUUUAACAUUUAGAUUCAGCAGGAGCUCCCUCCUUCUUGGGUUUAGAAGAUACUUUUUAAAUACUUUCUUACACUUUCUUUUGUAAGAUCCUUUAUGUACAGUUAUAAAACUCAAACAAGUCAGAUAUAUAAUAAUCUGACAAAAUGGAAAUAGUACAGUGUUGUAAUGAUGAAGUAUGCACAGCAGAGGGCAGAGUAUUACCUGCCUGUUCUGCUAAAAACAGUUCAAACACAUUUGCAGUAUUGACUGAAGGAACAAAUCAAAAUAAUUAAAAUAAUUCUUAAUUGUUAAAUGUGCAAUUAGCCAGCUGAUCACUGAAACAUUAGAUUUUUGUCAGUUAUAUUUAUUUUUUAAUGUCAUUAUUUUUCCAUAUGUUAAAAUAACAUUGUCUUUGGGUUUUUGUUUGAUCGUAGGAUUAGGUUGAGAUAUUUGGAGACUUACUGUCAUGUCUUUCUCAGACAUGAGUUCAAAGAUUUAAACAGAAAAUGUGACGGAGGCAGAGCAGAAGAGAAGACAGCAGGUGUGCAGACUGCUGUCACUUAUUUAUGCUGCCUUUCUUUUCUAACUCUGUGCACUGAAGCAUACACUGUACGAGCAUGCUCAAUAUGAUACCAGAGUGUUCAUUUCCUAAGCACUGAAGUAAAAAAUCAAAAGGCUCAAAUCAGCAUGUGAGUAUUUCAGUACUAAUAAACAGUGUUUGUACAAUACUCCUGUAACUGCAGUUACAGUGUUUGAUAAUAAGUUGUGCCUUAAUGCCAGCAAUUCUUUUACAACAGUUUCUGUUUCAAAUGGGAAGACUCUUUCUGGAGUUUGUUAACAAAAAACAGAUUUUUUUUCAUUUCUUCAGGUUAACUGCUCAAAUCCAGAUUCAAUGCACUGCAAUAAAAACUUGUUGGAAAUCCUUGUAAAUAAUACUGAAAUAAACCAGUUGAUCCUU